UGCUGAAUUAAUAUGAAAGUCCUAUUAUCCAGUUUUCUGGGUUAUUUUUCACCUCAAAAUAUAGGCGCCUUCUCACUGCAAACAAGGGUCUCUGUAACUUCAUUGAGCCUUGUGUAAGGCUCAUUUUGAGUUUUGGAUAUCUUGGGUGAAAAGGUUUCAAAAUUAAUUCUUUUGCCUCUUGAAAAAGCACCUUUGGGAUAAGGACCAGGAGAAAUAUUCAGAACUGUUUGUGUUUCUGAUGACUGGUUAAACUCAGUGAAUUUCCAACUGCUGUUUACACUAUAGGCUGGGAUUUAAUUCUCAGGACAUGUAACUGAUAGACUUUGAUCUACACUACAUAUAUAAUUUUAAUGAAAUACAGGUAAUCCUCAAUUUAUGACUGUAAUUAAGGCCAAAAUUACAGUGGUAAGUCAUGCUGGUUGUUAAACAGGUCAACAUGUAAAUCAUGCCUGAUUUUACAUCCUUUUUUGUAAUGGUUGUUAAGUGAAUACCACAGUUUUUAAGAGAAUGCUACAGUCGUUAAAUCAAUCCAUUUUCCACAAUUAACCUUUUUUUCUGGAAAUAGGAAGUAAAUGCCAGUUUUUGGCCAAAAAGGGCAAUUUGACUUUGGAAACAACCAUAAAUGCAGACCAGUUGCCUGAGUGGCCAAAAUAGGAUCACAUGACCAGGCGGGUGAUUAUUGGAACUUCAAAUCCAGAUCAUACCUAGUCUUGGGGAGGUUUGUUAGAACUUCAAAUGGUUGCUAAGCAUUUGUAAAUGUUGUAAAUUGAAGAGUACCUGUAUAAAAUUAGCAGUGAAGGCACCCUCAUUGCAUAAAUUAUUUUUAUAUACUUCUGGUCUUUUUUUUUUUUAGUAAGACAUUUGGCAACUACUAUAGAUUAUGAUUUGUUUUUAGGUGAAAUAGAACUACCCUAUAGAUUAUAGAAAGUCAGAGAAACUUUGACUGAGAGCUACAAACUACAUAUGUAUAUCAUUCUGCAUUUUUUUUGUAAAAGUCAUAGCAAUCUUAAAAACAUGCCCCUAGGUCAACAGUAAUGAAUAAUCUAGAAUUCCAGAGAUUCUCUUAGUUGAAAAGGACUUGCUUGCUUACUCAUUCGUUUGUUCAUUCAUGCGUGCAUGCAUUCAAUUUAUAUGCAUCCCAUCUCACUCUUGGAGCAACUCUGGGAGGCUUACAAAAUGAUAAAAAUAUAAAUAUAACAACAAUUACAAUUAAUAAGAAUUAAAUAGAGAAUAUAAACCAAGGGGAUGGAUAGCACAGGGAUGUAGUCUUCUCUCUUGCCUCAUCAUCUACCUCCCUUAUAGAGUGCCCCCUCUAUAAUGAAUUUCCAAACUUGGCCUGUUUCAAACCAAGGAGAGUAACAUUUAUGAAAUCUGCCUUAGAUCAACUAAUAUAACUGGUAAGGUUGUUCAUGAGACUGGAGAGGUGGCCUUAGCAUGUGAUCAGCAGUAAGGAUAUUGUUUUUGAAUCCAUUUGCUUGAUUCAUGGGGUGCUCUUUUCAGAGUUAAAAAUGCUUUUGUUGAGCAAGAUUGUGCCCCUUGGCAAGAUUUAAAAUUGCCUUUCUUAUUAUACGUCAUUUAGAAAAGAAGCAGAUGAUUGCUGCCUAAAAUAAGAAUUGGCUCAGUGGGAGCAAUAGCCUGAUAGCAAAUGAAUACUCCCAGCAAGUUAGUUGCAGGAACCCAGUUAAUGGGAUGGCAUCAUUCUGAGGGCAAUAACAAUUAGGUUCAAGUCUGUGUAGAAGUGAUUCACUUUUCAUUUGCAACAAGUUUGUUACAGACAUGAACAUGUGAUGGAGAGAACUGUGCCUAAUUUAACAAACCAUCAUUUUCACAGCAUGAUCUGUAGCAGGUUUCCCAGCCUUAGCUAUUU